rnacentral:rRNA from 1 species
GUGCCAGCCGCCGCGGUAAUACGGGGGGUGCAAGCGUUGUUCGGAAUUAUUGGGCGUAAAGAGCGUGUAGGCGGCUUGAUAAGUCAGAUGUGAAAGCCCUGGGCUUAACCCAGGAAGUGCAUUUGAAACUGUCUCGCUAGAAUAAGGGAGGGGGAAGUGGAAUUCCUGGUGUAGAGGUGGAAUUCGUAGAUAUCAGGAGGAACACCGGUGGCGAAGGCGACUUCCUGGCCCUAUAUUGACGCUGAGACGCGAGAGCGUGGGUAGCAAACAGGAUUAGAAACCCUCGUAGUCC